AAAGGAAUUGACGGGGGCCCGCACAAGCGGUGGAGCAUGUGGUUUAAUUCGAAGCAACGCGAAGAACCUUACCAAGGCUUGACAUCCCUAUGAAUAUAUUAGAGAUAGUAUAGCCCUUCGGGGCAUAGGUGACAGGUGGUGCAUGGUUGUCGUCAGCUCGUGUCGUGAGAUGUUGGGUUAAGUCCCGCAACGAGCGCAACCCUUACUUUUAGUAGCCAGCAGGUAAAGCUGGGCACACUAGAGGGACUGCCGUAGAUAAUACGGAGGAAGGUGGGGAUGAUGUCAAAUCAUCAUGCCCCUUAUGUCUUGGGCUACACACGUGCUACAAUGGCGCAUACAAAUUGAAGCAAAAGGGUGACCUGGAGCGAAACAAAAAAAAGCGCCUCAGUUCGGAUUGUAGGCUGCAACUCGCCUACAUGAAGUUGGAAUCGCUAGUAAUCGCAAAUCAGCAUGUUGCGGUGAAUACGUUCCCGGGCCUUGUACACACCGCCCGU
rnacentral:rRNA from 1 species